CGCUUGCAAGGGUGUUUUCUGGAAUAAGGGCCGGUGGGAUGAGUGAGUUCUGCUCGGGACCGAGCCAACCUGGUUUUCUGCUUGUUUAGCCACCGCCUCCCCUCGUGACAUCAACACUGCGGAGAGCCGCCGCGCGCUCAGACUCUGCUGCAGAACGCCAGUGCGCAAAGGUAAGCGAGCACUCCUCAGCACGCAACAACACGUUAGCACACUUAAAAGACGGAUCGUGUGGUAUUGAUGAGUGAUUGGUGAUCUAUCAGCAUGUCGCUGUACGCGUCUCAGAUUAAAGCGUUUAAGAGCGCAGAGCCCAAGACACUUGGCGCUAUUGAGAUCAUAAUGGGAGUGUUUACUGUCAUUUUGAGCUCAAUUGUUUAUAAGCUGCACUACCAUAUCCAGCGUGAAAUCAUCAUCCUCAUCGUCAACGGUGCUCAGCUUGUCAUAACUGGUGUUGUCCUGGUGCACACUGGGAGGAAGCCAUCUAAAUGUCUGGUGCUGACAACCAUUGUUCUGCAAUUACUAACCGCAGCAUUUGAUAUUGUUGGAUUUGGGCUCAUGGCCAGACACAUCCCAUUCAGAGGAGAGUCGUACUACUACAGGGACACAGAGUGGUGUUGUGACCCACGUCACUCUGUUUGGGCUUGCUGUGGAGAAGGAGAGAAAGGGGGACAUAAAGAGUUCUUAGUGAAUGGGAUCUUGUUGACACUGAUCGGUUUCCUGGUGCUAGCAUGUGUCAUUGGUUUGGUUGUGUCUCUUUUUGGGGUCUACACCCUUUCUGUUAGUGCCAUAAAGGAGGUGACGCCCAUCCCUCACUCUACCGCAAACCAACAUUAUGGUGCUGGCGUUCAGACCCAGAACAAGAUCCAUGCCGGAAACUGACAAAAUAAGAGCCGUUCAGAGCAGAAGGGCACAGUUUUAGCACAGUUUUACACCAACUGCAAAAGAGGACUGUUUCACCUACAAACCACUCACAGGUAAACAACCACAACUACAGACAAAAAAAAAAAAGUUUGUGAAGUUGUAAAUAAUUUUUUGAAAAUAAAAUGGAUAAAAUCUCGUUUUUUGCUUGGCUGUUGCUCUCACAGGCGUUAGGACUGCUGUAAUUUCGAAUGCUCAACUUAAUAGUUAUUCGUACCUCAUUAAUUUUUGCUCUUACAAACUGAAGCUUCUUAGCAUGAAAUGUCUACCCAGAAAUCUAGACCAGAAUCCAGUGUUAUCGAUGUAUGUUAGAGGGGUAAGUGUGCUUAUCGUUCUUAGGAUAUGUGAAAUUAGGUACAUAGCAGAAACAGAAAUGAAAUUAUGGUGAAUGUGAAUGGUAAGAAGGUUCUGUGAUUCCGUCUUGUUUCGUAGCAUUUUGUACCACCUUUUGCAUGGAUCUUUAUAUCGGUCAACAUGUUUGUUUUAGCCACAUGAGGACAUAUGGGGCUACAUUUAUCAAGUUGAUAUUUGUUAAUUGCAAUUUGAAAAUAAAAGCUCUUGAAACCAUAAAAAUGUAACAACACUGUAAGCAAGCCAAAUGAUUUUAUAUAUAUGCUUACAAAAAAAAAUCCUUCAAAAUAAAAGCCUUGAUAAAUGUGGCCCAUGUUCAGUGAAACUCCUCUAAAGCAGAGUAAUGGGAAUUUGAACACCAGUGAAUAGCUAAACAGCAUCGCUUGGCUUUUUUGUCAUCUCGUUUUAUCCGUACUGAUUCUUCAGGAAAGCUAUGAUGACUGCCAACUCUGUAAGUGCCACCACUUUUGACCAAAAUCAUGGACACCCUAAUGACUAAAGGUCAGAGGUUGAACCCUCAGUCAAGGGCUCGACUUUGGUGAUGUAAAAUCCUUUUGUGAUAGCAUGCGUCGUCCGUUCUGUGUCUGUAGAUCUUUGUCUUUAUGACAGCAUGUGAGAUUUACAUUGUGCCUGUUCUCAGCUAACUCUUUACAUGUAGUAAAUGAAAACGUAGUAUGUAGUAAUAUGGCUGUGUUUGUGUUUGUAUUUGACUGAAUGAUAUUUCAAAUAAACUUGAUUUACUACACAAUCUGAU
rnacentral:lncRNA from 1 species